GUGGCUUUAUUUUGAAUGCACUUUGAUAUGAGUACAUUCCUGUGUGGGCAGAUUAAUAUGUGUCUUCGGUGAAGAUCUCAUGUACAGGUUAUCAACAUGACUUUAAAGCAGUCUAUUCUAUAUUUUGUCCUUUGACCAAGAUGAUCAGGCUAUGACGACCACCUGAGAGAGGGGGCACAGCUGGGGCCUGAGGAGACGUGACGUUUUGCUGACUCAUUUUCUGACUCAACAUAUGACAUUUUUUUUAAAAAGCAACAAGGAGAGACAAAAACAAAAGGAAUGAUCUUCAGUGAUGGAGUGACGAGGCCCUGGUCCGAGUCGUUGCCGAGCUGCCAUCAGCAAACGCCACACUCUGACCUUUGCUCCCACUCGACUUUACAGCAGCUGUACGGACAGUGGUGGCCUCUAUCCCAGUGGGCUCGGACUGACCGUAUCUGCUGAUACUGCGUGGGAAGCUGGCCGAGGAGGGAAGGUUGAAAGAAGACAUCUGUUUGGGCACCAAGGCCACUACGCAGCGCUCCGACACCUGAGGAGACAAAGUGGGUGCAGAAAUAUCGUCCAACAACAACAACAACAACAACGACAGCAGCAGCAGCAGCAGCAGCAGCAGCAGCUCGCCUCUGUGAUGCCGGGCCAAGCAAGGAGCAGAUGAGGAG